rnacentral:rRNA from 1 species
GACGAACGCUGGCGGCGUGCCUAAUACAUGCGAGUUGAGCGAUGAAGUUUGGUGCUUGCACCAAUUUGAAGAGCAGCGAACGGGUGAGUAACGCGUGGGGAAUCUGCCUUUGAGCGGGGGACAACAUUUGGAAACGAAUGCUAAUACCGCAUAACAACUUUAAACAUAAGUUUUAAGUUUGAAAGAUGCAAUUGCAUCACUCAAAGAUGAUCCCGCGUUGUAUUAGCUAGUUGGUGAGGUAAAGGCUCACCAAGGCGAUGAUACAUAGCCGACCUGAGAGGGUGAGCGGCCACAUUGGGACUGAGACACGGCCCAAACUCCUGCGGGAGGCAGCCGUAGGGAAUCUUCGGCAAUGGAAGCAAGUCUGACCGAGCAACGCCGCGUGAGUGAAGAAGGUUUUCGGAUCGUAAAACUCUGUUGGUAGAGAAGAACGUUGGUGAGAGUGGAAAGCUCAUCAAGUGACGGUAACUACCCAGAAAGGGACGGCUAACUACGUG